rnacentral:rRNA from 1 species
CCUACGGGGGGCAGCAGUGAGGAAUAUUUGUCAAUGUACGAGCGUCUGCACCAGCCACGUCGCGUGAAGGAAGAAGGCUUUCGGGUUGUAAACUUCUUUUAUGAGGGACGAAAGAAAUGACGGUACAUCAUGAAUAAGCCACGGGUAACUACGUGCCAGACGCCGCGGUACUACGUAGGUGGCAAGCGUUGUCCGGAUUUACUGGGUGUAAAGGGCGUGUAGGCGGGACUGCCAGUCAAAUGUGAAAAUUAUGGGCUCAACGCAUAACCUGCAUUUGAAACUGUAAUUCUUGAGUGAUGGAGAGGCAGGUGGAAUUCCGGGUGUAGGGGGGAAAUGCGUAGAUAUACGGAGGAACACCAGGGGCGAAGGCGGCCUGCUGGACAUUAACUGACGCUGAGGAGCGAAAGCGUGGGGAGCAAACAGGAUUAGAUACCCCAGUAGUC